UAAGACCUGAAAGACUCACUUCCAUCUUCUGAAUGCAACCCAGACAAUUUAAUUAAAUUAAGGCCUU
rnacentral:tRNA from 1 species